GAUGAACGCUAGCGGCAGGCUUAAUACAUGCAAGUCGAGGGGCAGCAUGACUGUAGCAAUACAGUUGAUGGCGACCGGCAAACGGGUGCGGAACACGUACAGAACCUUCCUUCGAGCGGGGAAUAGCCCAGAGAAAUUUGGAUUAAUACCCCAUAGUACAACGGAGUGGCAUCACUUUGUUGUUAAAGAUUUAUCACUUGAAGAUGGCUGUGCGGCUGAUUAGGUAGUUGGCGGGGUAACGGCCCACCAAGCCUGCGAUCAGUAACUGGUGUGAGAGCACGACCAGUCACAAGGGCACUGAGACACGGGCCCGACUCCUACGGGAGGCAGCAGUAAGGAAUAUUGGUCAAUGGACGAAAGUCUGAACCAGCCAUGCCGCGUGGAGGAUGAAGGUCCUCUGGAUUGUAAACUUCUUUUAUAUGGGACGAAAAAAGGGUUUUCUAACUCGUCUGACGGUACCAUAUGAAUAAGCACCGGCUAACUCCGUGCCAGCCGCCGCGGUAACAC
rnacentral:rRNA from 1 species